CGCGGCGCAGAGCGGGCCCGUGCGGGUUCGUGGCCCGCGCGGCACGAGUUCGUCUCGCGACGGCGCGGC
rnacentral:tRNA from 1 species